AGGACGAACGCUGGCGGCGUGCUUAACACAUGCAAGUCGAGCGAGGCCCACCUUUCGGGGUGGUGUUCUAGCGGCGAACGGGUGAGUAACACGUGGGCAACCUGCCCUCAGCUCUGGGAUAACUCCAAGAAAUUGGGGCUAAUACCGGAUAUGACCGCUGACCGCAUGGUCUGGUGGUGGAAAGAUUUAUCGGCUGGGGAUGGGCCCGCGGCCUAUCAGCUUGUUGGUGGGGUAGNGGCCUACCAAGGCGACGACGGGUAGCCGGCCUGAGAGGGUGACCGGCCACACUGGGACUGAGACACGGCCCAGACUCCUACGGGAGGCAGCAGUGGGGAAUAUUGCGCAAUGGGCGGAAGCCUGACGCAGCGACGCCGCGUGGGGAUGACGGCCUGGUGU
rnacentral:rRNA from 1 species